CUUUUUUUUUUUUUUUUUUUUUUUUUUUUUAAUUUUUAAAGACUGAAGCAAAAUAAACAUAGGAAGCUUCAUCUUUAUUUGUGUCUGUUACUUUCUGUUACUUGCUCUUCUCUAUUAAAUGAUGACCUUAUAUUUUCUUUUGUCUUUCUCAGAUUUCAAGUACAUACCCUUUUUGAUUUUUAUAUACCUAGCUGGUAUUAAUUCAUUUUGCACAUUAACAUUUCUUAUUUUGUCCAUCAUGCUUAUAUUUUCUGAUUAUAAAUAUCCUAUGGAUAUGGAGGUGUUUUAAUUUAUAUUACUGGAGUGGAUAAAAACAUUCCUUAUUGCUCAUUACUGUUGCACUGCUAGAGGUUAUAGCCUCCAUGCUUGCUAAUCCAUGGGUUAGUGUAAAUCAUUGCUAGGGGUGAAAUACAAAAGAUGUUCUGAAAUGCUCAAUCAUAUAUUACUUUUCCCACUUGUCUUUUUUUCAAAGAAUUCCAUAUUUUCAUCUUUCUCUGCUUCCUACUUUCUUCUAUGUUGACAUAAUUGUACUUUUCAUGUCACCUUUUUUUCAACAGCUGCAAGAUCUUUUGCACUCCUAUUCUCAACAGUUAUUUACACAAGAAAAUCUAUUUCAGGGAGGUUUCUGAUUUUAAGAAAAUCAGCUUAUUUUGAAAAGCGUGAUUAGUUAUAGAGGAAUUGGAAAUUGUUCAAGAAAGCUUGAGCAAGACAAUUAUUUUCCAAAAGAAGGCUGAAAUAUUUCUUACAGAGGCCCACAAAGCACAUAUCUUUUCUGUGAGUCGAGGAGGUUGAUGACAAUUGUUUGCAGUUAGAAAAGCUUUCAGACAUUCACCACAGACAACCUUUGGUUCACACGCAUAAUUCUAAGUUUGAAGCACAUUCUACAUGAUCAGGCAUGUAAAGGUGGAAAGAUUGUCUUAAAACCAAUGCAUUUCAUUCUCAUAUUAAUUUCAGCUUCUCUUGUAUAAGCUCUGAUUUGCAUACCAACAGUCAGUGGCAGAAAAAAGUUUAAAGUAAGAAAGUAAGCUUUGUUGCUGCAGAUCUCUCAAACUUGACUGUGAAGCAUGGGUGGUCUCAUUUGCUAUUCUCCAACUUUUUCUCAUCUUGUGAAUUGAUUGUCAGAGGACUUCUUGAUUUGCUGUAGGAUGUUUAGUAUUGUUACACUCCUGAAGCAAAGAAUAUUCGAUGAGAUUUUGUUGUUAAUAAUGUAGAAGAAAUUGGCAUAUUGGAGGAAUCCAUCAAUCAUACAUUUAAAAGAAACUAAUAGUUGAUGCUUCAAAGACAGAUGUUCACAUUCUUUAAUCUGCUAAAUCCUUGUAGUGUUAUUGAAUUGCUUUAGACUUACUAGUUCAGAGGACAGCACUGUUCUGUCCUUAGACCAAUUAACUGGAUAUCAUCCCAUUGACACGAGUUGUGCUGGGACUGCUUUAACAGUUAACAGGUUCUUUGCUGGGAAAGAAAGAUAAAAUUGUUUUACUUACAAACCAAAGUGAGAUGGUGAGACUAAUUUUGAACUUCAUAUCCUUGAAAAUACUGUUGCAACUGUGUAGCCAUUCAGAAAGCUUAAGAAAAAAAAUCACUGCAGAAUGAGGGAUACAGAAUUUAAAAGGGAAAAAACAGUUAAUUUCCAAAGAUUUUUCUACCUGAUAUAGGAUAAAAUGACUCUAUGACAUCAGCACUAAGGUAUUGGAGAUUCCUUCUAGUAAAAAAUAGAAAGAAGUCUUUCUACAUCAUUCUUCAUUAAAGUUGUCACUUUUAAGGUAGCAACUAGUUUACCUAAUUCCAGCUGCAACAAGUAAGAUCUCAAAAUAUAAAAGAGAAGGAGCAGAAAAGAGAUUUUUGAUCAUGUAAGCCUGAUGAAUUUCCUCCAGCAGUACUCAAAGAAUAGACUGAUGAAAUUUUAUGUCUAUUCAUAAUUUGAGAGUCUGGGAAAGAAUGAACUUCCAGAAAACUGACUUUGCACAACAAAGGUUUCUCUCUUUAAAAAACACAAAGUGUGUAGAACUUAUAGACCACUUGACUAACUUCAAUUUCUAAAAAAGUAUUGAGUAAUCAAAGAAAAUAUUAGUAAGCAACACAAAGGUAAGGAGAGGAGGAAUAGUCACCAUGGAUUUGCCAAGAACAAAUCAUAUAGAACAAGUCUAAUUUCCUUCUCAAAGUGGGUAUCAGUCCUUGUUGACUUAGAAAAAACAAUUUAAUAUUUUUCUUGAUGUUAAUAAAGCUUCUGACACUGUCUGACAUGACAUUUACAUAAGCAAGCAAAAGAAAUAAAUAGACAAAUUAAUGGAUGUAUGUAAAAUGAGUUUAAAAAUUGUACUUAGAGAAUAGUUAGUGAUGUUUCACUGUCAAAACGAAAGGCUGAACUGCAUGGAAUUUCACAGGAGUCUAUCCUGAAUAUUGUCAUUACUCCGAAUGUAGAGAGAGAGGCCCAUUUUAACACUGCAAGACAUGUGAAUCCUUUCAUUUUCGAGUAACUUCCAGAGACUCUGAUAUGAACAGCUUUAGUUUUGUUCUUUUUGCUGUAGCCAAGUAGUUAGAAACGAAAUCAUGUCAACUUCCUCACUUAAAAGUGUUCCCCCUCUAAAAAUGUAUCCUGUCUUAUUCUAGAAGGGACUGUGUAACUUGUAGGCUGGACUCCCAGAGCCAGCUGCAAGGAUUCUCUCUACUCAUCUAUGUUAGGGCUCCCCAUAAUCAUUGAGCAUGACUAUAUAUUCACCACAUGAGUGUGAAAGCUCUUGUUUGUGUGCGGAGUGAGUGGGGAGAACAGGAGCAUGCACACUGUUGAAUGGUUGUGUUAAUGUCAGUCAUAAAAAAUGGGUAGGCUGCAGGACUGAUGAGUAUUUUCAAACUGACAUUGCAGCCAACUGGAUCAGUUGUCUGACUGCCAAAGGCAUCAUGAAUUUAGACAUAAUGGCAGUGAAACAAGCAGCAAGUAAAGGGGGAUGGGUCUGAAAGGCAAGAACUAACAGGUUUCAUUCAAAAUAAAAAUCUAAAGCAAAAGAGGAUUUUGUUGGCUUUCUUUGCUCUCAUUUGCUGAUAUGUUGAACUCUACUAAUUGAUUCCAUUAACAGGAAACCUGUCUUUGUGAGGAGACUGGAGUUUUCAGAACAAAUGCUUUUACAAAUUGAAUAUAUUAUAAAGUUGGUUGUAUUUGGCCUCUUAGGCAAGAUACAAAACAACAUCCUUGAAGUUCCAUUAGUAGAACACAAUGUUCACAUCUACACGAUCCCCAUAAUGAAUUCCUUAUCGGCAUUAUUUAAAAAAUAACCAGAAGUUGAAAAAACUGCAAGCAGGGUACCUAGGAGAAGGAGAUUGUAGUGAGCCUUCCCUGUGAACUUCUUCCUCCAUUCAUCUACCAGGAAGAUCUUCCAUGCUUUCCAUUAAGCUGGGGAGAUUCCACAAUCCCAGAGACCUUCAUGCCAAGCGUCUGUGAUUCUCUGAAAUUGCUCUGCUACAUGAAGCUACACAGUGUAAGUUUUUAAAGUAAUGC
rnacentral:lncRNA from 1 species